GCGACACUAGCUUAGUUGGUAGAGCGCAACCUUGCCAAGGUUGAGGUCACGAGUUCGAACCUCGUGUGUCGCUCCA
rnacentral:tRNA from 1 species